rnacentral:rRNA from 1 species
UGGGGAAUAUUGCACAAUGGGGGAAACCCUGAUGCAGCGACGCCGCGUGAGCGAAGAAGGUUUUCGAAUCGUAAAGCUCUGUCCUAUGGGAAGAUAAUGACGGUACCAUAGGAGGAAGCCCCGGCUAACUACGUGCCAGCAGCCGCGGUAAUACGUAGGGGGCAAGCGUUGUCCGGAAUCACUGGGCGUAAAGGGUUCGCAGGCGGAAAUGCAAGUCAGUUGUGAAAGGCAGAGGCUCAACCUCUGUAAGCAAUUGAAACUGUAUUUCUUGAGAUGUGGAGAGGCAAGUGGAAUUCCUAGUGUAGCGGUGAAAUGCGUAGAUAUUAGGAAGAAUACCGGUGGCGAAGGCGACUUGCUGGACACAAACUGACGCUGAGGAAAGAAAGCGUGGGUAGCAAACAGG